rnacentral:misc_RNA from 1 species
UUUCCGUAGGUGAACCUGCGGAAGGAUCAUUCACAAUAAGUGUUUUAUGGCACUUUUUUAAAUCCAUAUCCACCUUGUGUGCAAUGUCAGGGUUGAUUUUUCUCUCGAGAGGAUCAGCCCCAAACAUCAACUAUAUCUCAACUCUUUGUCUGAAAAAUAUAUGAAUAAAACAAUUCAAAAUACAACUUUCAACAACGGAUCUCUUGGCUCUC